UUACGGCCAUAUCAGGUUGAAACAUCGCUUCUCGUACGAUCAUCGAAGUUAAGCAACUUCGAACUCAGUCAGUACCUGGAUGGGUGACUGAUUGGGACUACCAACUGCUGUAA